AAACGAUGAUGAAAAGCUCUGUGACGAUGGGUCGUCACGUUGUCACCUUCUCCGAUGAUACGAGCACCUCUGAGCUU
rnacentral:snoRNA from 1 species